rnacentral:rRNA from 1 species
CACGUAGGCACCAAGCGUUGUCCGGAUUUAUUGGGCGUAAAGAGCUCGUAGGCGGUUCAGUAAGUCGGGUGUGAAAACUUUGGGCUUAACCCAAAGCGUGCAUCCGAUACUGCUGUGACUUGAGUACGGUAGGGGAGCGGGGAAUUCCAGGUGUAGCGGUGAAAUGCGUAGAUAUCUGGAGGAACACCGGUGGCGAAGGCGGCAUCCUGGACCGACACUGACGCUGAGGAGCGAAAGCCAGGGGAGCAAACGGG